rnacentral:rRNA from 1 species
CGCUGGCGGCGUGCCUAAUACAUGCAAGUCGAGCGAGCAGAACCAGCAGAUUUACUUCGGUAAUGACGCUGGGGACGCGAGCGGCGGAUGGGUGAGUAACACGUGGGGAACCUGCCCCAUAGUCUGGGAUACCACUUGGAAACAGGUGCUAAUACCGGAUAAGAAAGCAGAUCGCAUGAUCAGCUUAUAAAAGGCGGCGUAAGCUGUCGCUAUGGGAUGGCCCCGCGGUGCAUUAGCUAGUUGGUAAGGCAACGGCUUACCAAGGCAAUGAUGCAUAGCCGAGUUGAGAGACUGAACGGCCACAUUGGGACUGAGACACGGCCCAAACUCCUACGGGAGGCAGCAGUAGGGAAUCUUCCACAAUGGACGCAAGUCUGAUGGAGCAACGCCGCGUGAGUGAAGAAGGUUUUCGGAUCGUAAAGCUCUGUUGUUGGUGAAGAAGGAUAGAGGCAGUAACUGGCCUUUAUUUGACGGUAAUCAACCAGAAAGUCACGGCUAACUACGUGCCAGCAGCCGCGGUAAUACGUAGGUGGCAAGCGUUGUCCGGAUUUAUUGGGCGUAAAGCGAGCGCAGGCGGAAGAAUAAGUCUGAUGUGAAAGCCCUCGGCUUAACCGAGGAAYUGCAUCGGAAACUGUUUUUCUUGAGUGCAGAAGAGGAGAGUGGAACUCCAUGUGUAGCGGUGGAAUGCGUAGAUAUAUGGAAGAACACCAGUGGCGAAGGCGGCUCUCUGGUCUGCAACUGACGCUGAGGCUCGAAAGCAUGGGUAGCGAACAGGAUUAGAUACCCUGGUAGUCCAUGCCGUAAACGAUGAGUGCUAAGUGUUGGGAGGUUUCCGCCUCUCAGUGCUGCAGCUAACGCAUUAAGCACUCCGCCUGGGGAGUACGACCGCAAGGUUGAAACUCAAAGGAAUUGACGGGGGCCCGCACAAGCGGUGGAGCAUGUGGUUUAAUUCGAAGCAACGCGAAGAACCUUACCAGGUCUUGACAUCUAGUGCCAUCCUAAGAGAUUAGGAGUUCCCUUCGGGGACGCUAAGACAGGUGGUGCAUGGCUGUCGUCAGCUCGUGUCGUGAGAUGUUGGGUUAAGUCCCGCAACGAGCGCAACCCUUGUUAUUAGUUGCCAGCAUUAAGUUGGGCACUCUAAUGAGACUGCCGGUGACAAACCGGAGGAAGGUGGGGAUGACGUCAAGUCAUCAUGCCCCUUAUGACCUGGGCUACACACGUGCUACAAUGGGCAGUACAACGAGAAGCGAGCCUGCGAAGGCAAGCGAAUCUCUGAAAGCUGUUCUCAGUUCGGACUGCAGUCUGCAACUCGACUGCACGAAGCUGGAAUCGCUAGUAAUCGCGGAUCAGAACGCCGCGGUGAAUACGUUCCCGGGCCUUGUACACACCGCCCGUCACACCAUGGAAGUCUGCAAUGCCCAAAGCCGGUGGCCUAACCUUCGGGAAGGAGCCGUCUAAGGCAGGGCAGAUGACUGGG